rnacentral:misc_RNA from 1 species
AAAAAUGUACACAAGAUGGUGAUCCAUCUACAUGACUAUUUGUGUCGCAGUGACUUUGAGAAGAACGCAGAGCUGGCACAGUUAGUGCAGCAGAAGCUGGACGCAUACAAAGCGGACGAGCCAACCAUGGGCGAGGGGCCGGAGAAGGCGAGGUCACAAUUAAUCAUCCUGGACCGAGGCUUUGACUGCGUGUCCCCGCUCCUGCACGAGCUCACUUUGCAGGCCAUGGCGUACGACCUUCUGCCCAUCGAGAAUGAUGUUUACAAGUACGAAGCGACAGCUGGAAGCCCAGAGAAGGAGGUACUACUUGAUGAGAAUGAUGAACUGUGGGUAGAUCUACGCCACCAACACAUUGCUGUUGUGUCUCAAAACGUGACAAAGAAUUUGAAGAAGUUCAUUGAGUCCAAGCGAGUGCCACAGGGCGACAAGCAAUCGAUGCGGGACUUGUCACAGAUGAUCAAGAAGAUGCCACAGUACCAGAAGGAAUUGAGCAAGUAUGCUACCCAUCUCCACUUGGCCGAAGACUGCAUGAAGGCGUACCAGGGCUAUGUUGACAAGCUUUGCAAGGUGGAACAGGACCUAGCAAUGGGAACAGACGCUGAGGGAGAGCGUAUCAAGGAUCACAUGCGCAACAUUGUGCCGAUCCUAUUGGACCAGGCCGUCUCCAACUAUGACAAGAUGAGGAUCAUCCUGCUGUAUAUCCUCUCUCGCAACGGCAUCUCCGAGGAGAACCUCAACAAGUUGGUGCAGCAUGCACAGAUCUUACCGCAGGAGAAGCAGGCCAUCAUCAACAUGGCCAACUUAGGCGUCAAUGUCGUCGUCGAGGGUAACAGGAAGAAGAUGUAUCAGAUUCAAAGGAAAGAGCGCAUCACUGAGCAAACUUACCAGAUGUCACGUUGGACUCCUGUUGUGAAGGAUCUUAUUGAGGAUGCCAUCGAAGACAAACUGGAUGUGAAACACUUCCCUUACCUCGGUGGUCGAGCAGCCUCCUCCGGCUACCAUGCUCCAACAAGUGUGAGGUAUGGCCACUGGCACAAGGACAAGGGUCAGCCCACAGUAAAGAAUGUCCCUCGUAUCAUCAUUUUCUUUGUUGGUGGUGUCAGCUUCUCUGAGAUCAGCUGUGCUUAAAUAGUUGAUAUUUUGCACUCACUAAUAUUGUGCUUACAUAUGUUUCAGUGUGAGGUAUGGCCACUGGCACAAGGACAAGGGUCAGCCCACAGUGAAGAAUGUCCCUCGUAUCAUCAUUUUCUUUGUUGGUGGUGUCAGCUUCUCUGAGAUCCGCUGUGCUUAUGAGGUCACUUCUGCUAACAAGAACUGGGAAGUCAUUAUCGGUUCCUCUCAUAUUUUAACUCCUGAGGAUUUCCUGAGCAAUCUGGCAAACUUGAGCACUUAAGCACAGGCUUCAGCUAGAUGCAUUGCUGACAGCGGCCUACUUGCUACCAGCACUACCAACCGUUGUUUGUUAUGAACUCAACAUUCCUCUCUUUUCUUUCAAUUUUUAAUUUGCUUAAUUUGUAAUUAAUUGUUUUAGUAUAGUUUGCUUUUAAGUGAAUUGGAGAUUUGUUAUAUUUAUGUUAGCUUAUAAUAUGAUGGCUAGUUGAUUAUAUGAUGUUUAGAAAAGGUAAUAAUAAAAGCAUAAGUGAUAAAGACAUAAUCUCUAACUAUUGUAGUGAACACAGCGUUUCAUUUAUUAUCAUCAGAAGGCUGUCUUAAAUGAUAAAUCUAUGUUGUAACCAAGAUGGUUAGACGAAACAGUAGCUUAGCUUAGCUGUUUAUUAUCUUCUGAUGAGAUGUGUAGUCAUUCAAGUUACAUACCUUUGUAUUGUACAUUUAUUUGGCAAUUAAUCUUAUCUGCUUUUUGCCUUGUUUAUUACUUUGUACAUAUGUUUUAUGUAUAAUCAUUUCAACAAUAUAAUUUGGUUUAAAAUCAAAAUAAACAAACAACUUUUUAAAGUAAAUUCCAAAAUUAUUUUAAAAUUCAUAAUAUUUUACUCGUGUUUAUCACCAACACCAUUUCCAGUCAUUUAAUCUUCAUUUAUUUCAUUAGAUUUUGAUCUAAAAUAUAUUUUCAAUGUACAUUGUACAUAUGAGAGCUUAGUGGAAAUUUAAAUUGUUAAUCUUUACUCAUGGACGUUUAAAGUAGAUUAAUAAUAUUUAAAGGUAUUUAUAUUCAGACUUUUAUUUAAAGAAUGAAAUAUCAUUUACGUUCUUAUUGUCUGAAAUAAGCACGUUUUUUAAUUUGUACUACAUGUAUAUUGUCUUACAGGGAACUUAUCACAAGAACAGCACAUUUAAUGCGACGCAACUGUCACAAUGUUUCAAAUUUUUGAUUUACUCAAUUUAAAAUGAUUAUUCAUAUUGUAUACCUAAAUAUAUCAAGCAAUAAAUAAAAUCGUUUAUACAAUAAAUGGAAUUCAAUAGUAUCGUAGAUUGAAUUUUACAAUCUUUCAGAUAAAUAUUGAAUCUGAUAUUUAACAUUCAGUUUAAUCUUGUAGAAUCAGUAUCUUACUAGUUCGGCUAGCUCUGUUGUUUGUACUUAAAAGAAAGUAUUACAAUUUUAUAUCCGCUUGAGUCAUAGCAGAGUUAGAGCUUCAUGUCCGUCAGUGUUGAUUGUAUUUCUUGUCUGUGUGUCAGUAGGUGCCAAUAUUGUAUAUAAAGUCUCACCAUUUUCAUUGCCUUAAUAGAUCUUUUAGAUAAAAACACAAUUUUUUGGAUUCUAUUCAAUGUUGAAUGUGUAAAAAUAUUCAGAGAAUGAAUAGUGUAAGACAUCAAACUAACAAAAAGUGUUUUAUGCCGUUUUGCAAAUAAUUUAAAAACUUUUAAAAUUAUUAUUUGCUGUAUUGGAUGUUAAAAUAUAUUUAUUAGUUCUCAUUUACUAUUGGCUCCCGUACAACAAGUGGAAAAAAAAUUAAAUUUAAAUAAGCUGUUACCAAAUUAUUUUUUAACAAAAUAUUGAGUGAACAUUAAAAAUAAUUAGAUACUGGUCUUCAACUAGUUUCACAACCAUCAAAUAUUUGAAUUACUUAUAUUUUCAGGACUGGUGAAUCCAUUUCAUAUAAACCCACUAAAUUGCCAUAGAAAAUAUUAAUAUCAAUCUCUAAGUAGUAUAACAUUAUCAUGUUACUUUAAUUUUUUAAGGAUGUAGUUUUGUUGUAAAUUAUAUACAUUAAGAGGGGUUUGCUUUGAUUAAUAUCUAUAGGCUUAAUAAUUAAAAUAGUUUUUAGUGGUAACUUUAAGAUUUUUGUGUUGAUAAGAAUAUUGUUUACCCUUAAAUAUUGUAGUGUUAUUGUAUAUAGUUUGUCACAGUAUUUUAAUUAGAAUAAAAAAACUCCUGUUAAAGUUAUUUGAAAUAAAGUAUUAAAUACUAAUCGUAACUGUUAAUAUUAUUGUUCGUGAUAAAGUUUUAGUCUUGCCAAAAAUUAUAACUUCAGUUAAACAAGGUUAAUAUUUGUAUAAUUUUUAAAUAUAUUGUUACAAAGGAACUAUUCUGUUAUCGUUUGCACCAAAUUAGCGAGAUUGCACUGUAUUAUUUCAUAACAUUAUACAAUCUUUAAUCUUGAAGAACAAAUUAGCGCUAUACGGUUUGUUAGUAAUCUAAGAAAUUUUAGGAAUGUGAGACUAUUUCAAGUUAUGAUUGUAUAGUGACAUUUAUUAGAUUGGGUAAGGCAUGAUUCUAACAAUGAAUUGGCUUAGUGCAGUUUGUGACUUAUUGUUGAAUUUUGUGUUAGUAUGUAUAAUAAUAAAUUAUGCUCUAGUCAUUUGA